rnacentral:rRNA from 1 species
UACGUAGGGGGCAAGCGUUGUCCGGAUUUAUUGGGCGUAAAGAGCUCGUAGGCGGUCUGUCGCGUCGGAUGUGAAAACCCAGGGCUCAACCCUGGGCCUGCAUUCGAUACGGGCAGACUAGAGUUCGGUAGGGGAGACUGGAAUUCCUGGUGUAGCGGUGAAAUGCGCAGAUAUCAGGAGGAACACCGGUGGCGAAGGCGGGUCUCGUGGGACCGAAACUGACGCGUGGAGGAAGCGAAAGGCGUGGGGAGCAAACAACGG